rnacentral:SRP_RNA from 1 species
GCUGGGCGUGGUGGCUCACACCUGUAAUCCCAGCACCUUGGGAAGCUGAGGCAGGUGGAUCACCUGAGGUCAGGAGUUCGAGACCAGCCUGACCAACAUGGCGAAACCCUGUCUCUA